UACAGAGGGUGCAAGCGUUGUUCGGAAUUAUUGGGCGUAAAGCGCUGGUAGGUGGCUUGUUAAGUCGCGUGUGAAAGCUCCAGGCUCAACCUGGAAAGUGCGCGCGAAACUGGCGAGCUCGAGUGCCGGAGAGGGUCGCGGAAUUCCCAGUGUAGAGGUGAAAUUCGUAGAUAUUGGGAGGAACACCAGAGGCGAAGGCGGCGACCUGGAAGGUAACUGACACUGAGCAGCGAAAGCGUGGGGAGCAAACGGG
rnacentral:rRNA from 1 species